AUUGAACGCUGGCGGCAUGCUUUACACAUGCAAGUCGAACGGUAACAGGCCGCCAGGUGCUGACGAGUGGCGAACGGGUGAGUAAUGCAUCGGAACGUGCACAGUCGUGGGGGAUAACUACUCGAAAGAGUAGCUAAUACCGCAUACGAUCUAUGGAUGAAAGCGGGGGACCGUAAGGCCUCGCGCGAUUGGAGCGGCCGAUGUCAGAUUAGGUAGUUGGUGGGGUAAAGGCUCACCAAGCCAACGAUCUGUAGCUGGUCUGAGAGGACGACCAGCCACACUGUGAGAGAGAGACGGCCGAGAGACCUACGGGGGGGAGCAGUGGGGGAUAUUGGGGAAUGGGGGCAAAAAUGAUACAGAGAUAAGGCGUGUAGGAUGAAGGACUUCGGGUUGUAAAAUGCUUUUGUAUGGAGAGAAAAACCUUCUUUGAAUAAAACCGGGUAAUGACGGUAGAGUAAGAAUAAGCACCGCCUAACUACGUG
rnacentral:rRNA from 1 species